rnacentral:rRNA from 1 species
CGAACGCUGGCGGCAUGCCUAACACAUGCAAGUCGAACGAACCCUUCGGGGUUAGUGGCGCACGGGUGCGUAACGCGUGGGAAUCUGCCCUUUGCUUCGGAAUAACUCAGGGAAACUUGUGCUAAUACCGGAUGAUGUCUUCGGACCAAAGAUUUAUCGGCAAGGGAUGAGCCCGCGUAGGAUUAGGUAGUUGGUGGGGUAAAGGCCUACCAAGCCGACGAUCCUUAGCUGGUCUGAGAGGAUGAUCAGCCACACUGGGACUGAGACACGGCCCAGACCCCUACGGGAGGCAGCAGUGGGGAAUAUUGGACAAUGGGCGCAAGCCUGAUCCAGCAAUGCCGCGUGAGUGAUGAAGGCCCUCGGGUCGUAAAGCUCUUUUACCAGGGAUGAUAAUGACAGUACCUGGAGAAUAAGCGCCGGCUAACUCCGUG